CGCACGGGUGAGUAACACGUAUCCAACCUGCCGUCUACUCUUGGACAGCCUUCUGAAAGGAAGAUUAAUACAAGAUGGCAUCAUGAGUCCGCAUGUUCACAUGAUUAAAGGUAUUCCGGUAGACGAUGGGGAUGCGUUCCAUUAGAUAGUAGGCGGGGUAACGGCCCACCUAGUCUUCGAUGGAUAGGGGUUCUGAGAGGAGGUCCCCCACAUUGGAACUGAGACACGGUCCAA
rnacentral:rRNA from 1 species